ensembl:snRNA U6 U6 spliceosomal RNA
CAGUGCUCACUUCAGCAACAGUAAACUUGGAACAAUACAGAGAUUAGCAUGGUCCCCACACAAGGAUGACACACGGACUUGUGAAGCAUGCAAUAUUUUU